AAGUCGAACGGCAGCGCGGGCUUCGGCCUGGCGGCGAGUGGCGAACGGGUGAGUAAUAUAUCGGAACGUACCCAGAAGUGGGGGAUAACGCAGCGAAAGUUGCGCUAAUACCGCAUACGAUCUACGGAUGAAAGYAGGGGAYCGCAAGRCCUURUGCUUUUGGAGCGGCCGAUAUCUGAUUAGCUAGUUGGUAGGGUAAAGGCCUACCAAGGCGACGAUCAGUAGCUGGUCUGAGAGGACGACCAGCCACACUGGAACUGAGACACGGUCCAGACUCCUACGGGAGGCAGCAGUGGGGAAUUUUGGACAAUGGGCGCAAGCCUGAUCCAGCAAUGCCGCGUGAGUGAAGAAGGCCUUCGGGUUGUAAAGCUCUUUUGUCAGGGAAGAAACGGGAGUGGCUAAUAUCCAUUCCUAAUGACGGUACCUGAAGAAUAAGCACCGGCUAACUACGUGCCAGCAGCCGCGGUAAUACGUAGGGUGCAAGCGUUAAUCGGAAUUACUGGGCGUAAAGCGUGCGCAGGCGGUKUUGUAAGUCUGACGUGAAAUCCCCGGGCUUAACCUGGGAAUUGCGUUGGAGACUGCAAGGCUGGAAUCUGGCAGAGGGGGGUAGAAUUCCACGUGUAGCASUGAAAUGCGUAAGAUGUGGAGGAACACCGAUGGCGAAGGCAGCCCCCUGGGCUAAGAUUGACGCUCAUGCACGAAAGCGUGGGGAGCAAACAGGA
rnacentral:rRNA from 1 species